UGAGGGAAUAUUUGGGUCAAUGGACGGGAGUCUGAACCAGCCAAGUAGCGUGCAGGACGACGGCCCUAUGGGUUGUAAACUGCUUUUAUAGGGGGAUAAAGUGUGCCACGUGUCGCCUAUUGUAUGUACCAUCAGAAAAAGGACCGGCUAAUUCCGUGCCAGCAGCCGCGGUAAUACGGAAGGUCCAGGCGUUAUCCGGAUUUAUUGGGUUUAAAGGGAGCGUAGGCGGAGAGAUAAGUCAGCGGUAAAAUCGUGCGGCUCAACCGUACCUCGCCGUUGAUACUGUUUUUCUUGAGUGCACACAGGGAUGCUGGAAUUCGUCGUGUAGCGGUGAAAUGCUUAGAUAUGACGAAGAACUCCGAUCGCGAAGGCAGGUGUCCGGGGUGCAACUGACGCUGAGGCUCGAAAGUGCGGGUAUCAAACAGGAUUAGAUACCCUGGUAGU
rnacentral:rRNA from 1 species